UGCUGGGAUAGCUCAGUUGGUAGAGCAUGAGACUCUUACAAAGUCGUGGGUUCGAACGCACGUUGGGUAA